AGAGUUUGAUCAUGGCUCAGAUUGAACGCUGGCGGCAGGCCUAACACAUGCAAGUCGAGCGGUAGCACAGAGAGCUUGCUCUCGGGUGACGAGCGGCGGACGGGUGAGUAAUGUCUGGGAAACUGCCUGAUGGAGGGGGAUAACUACUGGAAACGGUAGCUAAUACCGCAUAACGUCGCAAGACCAAAGUGGGGGACCUUCGGGCCUCAUGCCAUCAGAUGUGCCCAGAUGGGAUUAGCUAGUAGGUGGGGUAACGGCUCACCUAGGCGACGAUCCCUAGCUGGUCUGAGAGGAUGACCAGCCACACUGGAACUGAGACACGGUCCAGACUCCUACGGGAGGCAGCAGUGGGGAAUAUUGCACAAUGGGCGCAAGCCUGAUGCAGCCAUGCCGCGUGUGUGAAGAAGGCCUUCGGGUUGUAAAGCACUUUCAGCGGGGAGGAAGGCGGUGAGAUUAAUAACCUCAUCGAUUGACGUUACCCGCAGAAGAAGCACCGGCUAACUCCGUGCCAGCAGCCGCGGUAAUACGGAGGGUGCAAGCGUUAAUCGGAAUUACUGGGCGUAAAGCGCACGCAGGCGGUCUGUCAAGUCGGAUGUGAAAUCCCCGGGCUCAACCUGGGAACUGCAUUCGAAACUGGCAGGCUAGAGUCUUGUAGAGGGGGGUAGAAUUCCAGGUGUAGCGGUGAAAUGCGUAGAGAUCUGGAGGAAUACCGGUGGCGAAGGCGGCCCCCUGGACAAAGACUGACGCUCAGGUGCGAAAGCGUGGGGAGCAAACAGGAUUAGAUACCCUGGUAGUCCACGCCGUAAACGAUGUCGAUUUGGAGGUUGUGCCCUUGAGGCGUGGCUUCCGGAGCUAACGCGUUAAAUCGACCGCCUGGGGAGUACGGCCGCAAGGUUAAAACUCAAAUGAAUUGACGGGGGCCCGCACAAGCGGUGGAGCAUGUGGUUUAAUUCGAUGCAACGCGAAGAACCUUACCUGGUCUUGACAUCCACAGAACUUUCCAGAGAUGGAUUGGUGCCUUCGGGAACUGUGAGACAGGUGCUGCAUGGCUGUCGUCAGCUCGUGUUGUGAAAUGUUGGGUUAAGUCCCGCAACGAGCGCAACCCUUAUCCUUUGUUGCCAGCGGUUCGGCCGGGAACUCAAAGGAGACUGCCAGUGAUAAACUGGAGGAAGGUGGGGAUGACGUCAAGUCAUCAUGGCCCUUACGACCAGGGCUACACACGUGCUACAAUGGCAUAUACAAAGAGAAGCGACCUCGCGAGAGCAAGCGGACCUCAUAAAGUAUGUCGUAGUCCGGAUUGGAGUCUGCAACUCGACUCCAUGAAGUCGGAAUCGCUAGUAAUCGUAGAUCAGAAUGCUACGGUGAAUACGUUCCCGGGCCUUGUACACACCGCCCGUCACACCAUGGGAGUGGGUUGCAAAAGAAGUAGGUAGCUUAACCUUCGGGAGGGCGCUUACCACUUUGUGAUUCAUGACUGGGGUGAAGUCGUAACAAGGUAACCGUAGGGGAACCUGCGGUUGGAUCACCU
rnacentral:rRNA from 1 species